rnacentral:rRNA from 1 species
AUUGAACGCUGGCGGAAUGCUUUACACAUGCAAGUCGAGCGGCAGCACGGGGGCAACCCUGGUGGCGAGCGGUGAACGGGUGAGUAAUACAUCGGAACAUGCCCAGUCGUGGGGGAUAACACUUCGAAAGAAGUGCUAAUACCGCAUACGUCCUGAGGGAGAAAGCGGGGGAUCUUCGGACCUCGCGCGAUUGGAGUGGCCGAUGUCAGAUUAGCUAGUUGGUGGGGUAAAGGCCUACCAAGGCAACGAACUGUAGCUGGUCUGAGAGGAUGAUGAGCCACACUGGGAGUGAGACACGGCCCAGACUCCUACGGGAGGCAGCAGUGGGGAAUUUUGGACAAUGGGGGCAACCCUGAUCCAGCCAUUCCGCGUGAGUGAAGAAGGCCUUCGGGUUGUAAAGCUCUUUCGGCAGGAACGAAACGGCGAGCUCUAACAUAGCUUGCUAAUGACGGUACCUGAAGAAGAAGCACCGGCUAACUACGUGCCAGCCGCCGCCGUAAAAC